AUUGAACGCUGGCGGCAUGCCUUACACAUGCAAGUCGAACGGGUGUAGCAAUACAUCAGUGGCAGACGGGUGAGUAACACGUGGGAACCUUCCUCGUUGUACGGAACAACUCAGGGAAACUUGAGCUAAUACCGUAUACGUCCGAGAGGAGAAAGAUUUAUCGCAAUGAGACGGGCCCGCGUCGGAUUAGCUAGUUGGUGGGGUAAUGGCCUACCAAGGCGACGAUCCGUAGCUGAUCUGAGAGGAUGAUCAGCCACACUGGGACUGAGACACGGCCCAGACUCCUACGGGAGGCAGCAGUGGGGAAUCUUGGACAAUGGGCGCAAGCCUGAUCCAGCCAUGCCGCGUGAGUGAAGAAGGCCUUAGGGUUGUAAAGCUCUUUUGCCAGGGACGAUAAUGACGGUACCUGGAGAAUAAGCCCCGGCAAACUUCGUGCCAGCCGCCGCCGUAA
rnacentral:rRNA from 1 species